CAAUAGCGUAUAUUUAAGUUGCUGCAGUUAAAAAGCUCGUAGUUGGAUUUCGGGUGGGAAUGGCCGGUCCGCCGUUUCGGUGUGCACUUGCUACGCCCACCUUGCUGCCGGGGACGUGCUCUUGAGUUCACGCUCGGGACACGGAGUCGGCGAGGUUACUUUGAGUAAAUUAGAGUGUUCAAAGCAGGCCUACGCUCUGAAUACAUUAGCCUGGAAUAACACGAUAGGACUCUGGCCUAUCUUGUUGGUCUGUAGGACCGGAGUAAUGAUUAAGAGGGACAGUCGGGGGCAUUCGUAUUUCAUUGUCAGAGGUGAAAUUCUUGGAUUUAUGAAAGACGAACUACUGCGAAAGCAUUUGCCAAGGAUGUUUUCAUUAA
rnacentral:rRNA from 1 species